rnacentral:rRNA from 1 species
AUUGAACGCUGGCGGCAUGCCUUACACAUGCAAGUCGAACGGUAACAGGUCUUCGGAUGCUGACGAGUGGCGAACGGGUGAGUAAUACAUCGGAACGUGCCCGAGAGUGGGGGACAACGAAGCGAAAGCUUUGCUAAUACCGCAUACGAUCUCAGGAUGAAAGCAGGGGACCGCAAGGCCUUGCGCUCACGGGGCGGCCGAUGGCAGAUUAGGUAGUUGGUGGGAUAAAAGCUUACCAAGCCGACGAUCUGUAGCUGGUCUGAGAGGACGACCAGCCACACUGGGACUGAGACACGGCCCAGACUCCUACGGGAGGCAGCAGUGGGGAAUUUUGGACAAUGGGCGCAAGCCUGAUCCAGCCAUGCCGCGUGCAGGAUGAAGGCCUUCGGGUUGUAAACUGCUUUUGUACGGAACGAAAAGACUCUGGUUAAUACCUGGGGUCCAUGACGGUACCGUAAGAAUAAGCACCGGCUAACUACGUGCCAGCCGCCGCGGUAAUAA